CAGCCGCCGCGGUAAUACAGAGGGUGCAAGCGUUAAUCGGAAUUACUGGGCGUAAAGCGCGCGUAGGUGGUUCGUUAAGUUGGAUGUGAAAUCCCCGGGCUCAACCUGGGAACUGCAUCCAAAACUGGCGAGCUAGAGUAGGGCAGAGGGUGGUGGAAUUUCCUGUGUAGCGGUGAAAUGCGUAGAUAUAGGAAGGAACACCAGUGGCGAAGGCGACCACCUGGGCUCAUACUGACACUGAGGUGCGAAAGCGUGGGGAGCAAACAGGAUUAGAUACCCGGGUAGUCCCUGUCUCUUAUAA
rnacentral:rRNA from 1 species